GACAGCAGCAGCCGCGGGAAUACGGAGGGUGCAAGCGUUAAUCGGAAUUACUGGGCGUAAAGCGCACGCAGGCGGUCUGACAAGUCAGAUGUGAAAUCCCCGGGCUUAACCUGGGAACUGCAUUUGAAACUGUCAGGCUGGAGUCUUGUAGAGGGGGGUGGAAUUCCAGGUGUAGCGGUGAAAUGCGUAGAGAUCUGGAGGAAUACCGGUGGCGAAGGCGGCCCCCUGGACAAAGACUGACGCUCAGGUGCGAAAGCGUGGGGAGCAAACAGGAUUAGAUACCCCAGUAGUCCCUGUCUCUUAUAC
rnacentral:rRNA from 1 species